rnacentral:pre_miRNA from 1 species
AUAAAAUGUUGGACAACUGCAAGGUACUUCAAGGUUUUUAUUUCGUCUUUAAUACAGGGUAUCUGCAGUGAUCGAUUUUCUCU